rnacentral:rRNA from 1 species
GACGAACGCUGGAGGCGUGCUUAACACAUGCAAGUCGAACGAUGAAAUGGAGCUUGCUCCAUGGAUUAGUGGCGAACGGGUGAGUAACACGUGAAUAACCUGCCCUUAAUUUUGGAAUAACCCAGGGAAACCUGGGCUAAUACCGGAUAAGUAAACCCGUGGCAUCACAUGGUUUUGGAAAGUUUUUCGAUUAAGGAUGGAUUCGCGGCCUAUCAGCUUGUUGGUGAGGUAAUGGCUCACCAAGGCGACGACGGGUAGCCGGCCUGAGAGGGUGAACGGCCACACUGGGACUGAGACACGGCCCAGACUCCUACGGGAGGCAGCAGUGGGGAAUAUUGCGCAAUGGACGAAAGUCUGAUGCAGCGACGCCUCGUGAGGGACGAAGGUCUUCGGAUUGUAAACCUCUUUCAGCAGGGACGAAGCGAAAGUGACGGUACCUGCAGAAGAAGCACCGGCUAACUAUGUGCCAGCAGCCGCGGUAA